AUGAGCCCCCCAAACCAUCACAUGAUCCCAGGACCUGUGGCCUGGGGAAUAACAUCGGGAGAGGGGCCUCAAAGCAGCCAGAGCUGGGACCAGCAACCGCCAGCUCCUGGUGGUAAUGCAGGCAGGACAGGCAGACAGACAAAAGAAACCUGUCUAUACGAAAGAGGGAUUUUGCAGCUCAGCAUCCCCUGCCCAACAUUCAGGUGUUCUCUUUCUGCAGAGCCUCAGCAAGGCCGGGCUCUCAAGGCCCCCCCUCCUGCCCCGGUUUGGCAGGAGGGACAAGUGCCCCCGCCCCGCUUGGUGCUGCUGUGGCCGCGGCGCUCUUUGCUGUCAUUUGUGCCGUGGCUGCAAAGAAGAGGAGACAGUCAUGCGAGCACCAAGGUGCCAAUUACACUUUCAUUAACAGCCGAUGUAUUUCUUUAUCAGCCCUCUGCUUCUCUGUACAAUGUUGAUCAUUUUGGUGGAGCAUUUGUUUUAAUUUCCCAAAUGAGGAAGCAAUCUUGUAAAUAUUGUGCAGUAAUUAAAAUGGCUAUUUAUUGUGCAGCAUUCUGGCUGCUGCCAGCACACAGCCUGAUUAGCAUUCCCCUUCCUCCGAGCCCUUGCUCCCACCCGUCCUGCUGGCUCCAGCAGCCCCUCUGCCCAAAUCUGGGCACCCAGCGACCUGCAGCCAAGCCCCACCACCCCGCUCCGUCCCACUGCGCUGACCCUCGCUGCUACAAGGCAGCCAGAGGUUCGAUGUCCUCCAAGAACCGAGAAACCCAGCAGCAGCGAACAGCAACAGAAACUCUUGUUUCUGAAACAAAACCCAUUCCUCAGGUUCUUGCUGGUGGCAGUGGGCUCAGCCUCUAUGGGCAAACCUCUGGGACGGGGCAGAUUAAGAACAAUCCGCAGGAGACGCAAGCCCCUCAGAGGGCCAGGAGGACUCAGCCCCACCACAGGAGCACACCUGGGUGCUGUCCCAAGGCUGGGAAAUGCCAGCGGCAGGCUCCGUGCUGGGUCGGCACCAGCUGGCGCCUUGGUGGCUGCCCUCAGGGGGGAUCGGGGUGCACUGUCCUGCAAACAGCUCUGCCGCCCUGCUUGGGGCUGGGCAGAACAAAACCGCAGCCAGGAGAGAGCACGGGCUGUGCAUGGCCAGGGGAAUGCUGA
rnacentral:lncRNA from 1 species